rnacentral:rRNA from 1 species
GUCUACAGCCAUACCAGCCUGAAUGCAUCUAUUCUUGUCUGGUAUCAGAAGCUAAGCAAGGUUGGGCCUGGUCAGUACUUGGGUGGGAGAAAAAUUUUUGGCAUCUUUUAAAGGGGUGUUUAGGGGCUGGAGCGA